ACUCAAAGGAAUAGACGGGGGCCCGCACAAGCGGUGGAACAUGUGGUUUAAUUCGAUGCAACGCGAAGAACCUUACCUGGGCUUGACAUCUACGGAAUCUCCUGGAAACAGGGGAGUGCCGCAAGGAGCCGUAAGACAGGUGGUGCACGGUUGUCGUCAGCUCGUGUCGUGAGAUGUUGGGUUAAGUCCCGCAACGAGCGCAACCCUCGUUGUCUGUUGCUACAGAUCGAAAGAUGCUGAGCACUCAGGCGAGACUGCCGGUGAUAAACCGGAGGAAGGUGGGGACGACGUCAAAUCAGCACGCCCCUUAUGUCCAGGGCUACACACGUGUUACAAUGGGAAGCGGACAAUGGGUCGCUUGGCAGCGAUGCCCGGCAAAUCCCCGAAACCGCCCCUCAGUUCGGAUCGCAGUCUGCAACUCGACUGUGUGAAGUCGGAAUCGCUAGUAAACGCAGAUCAGCAACGCUGCGUUGAAUACGUUCCCGGGCCUUGCACACACCGCCCGU
rnacentral:rRNA from 1 species